CCUAAAAGAGUCCUUUCUCUUUUCCUUUAGCUACUGAAGGGCGCUGCUGAAGUCUCCUUGGGCCUCUGUGGAAAGAAAAACCAGUUGCACCAGGCAUCAGAGUGGUCAAAAGGGCCACCCACCUGCUUACCCAACACCUACUGCAAGCCACAUAUCCAGGAGGAGCCUCUCCCAUCUGAUCACAGUAAGCAGGCCAGAGGGAGUGAACUUCACCAGGUUCCCAGAUACCAAUCGCAGUCUCUCAGAUGAAUCCACCUAGAAGGCAUAGAAUCUGUGGAAGCCUUUGGAUUCACCCUUUGGAAGCCAGCAGAGAGAAGGUGUCACCUGAAAAACAAGGUGACAGCAUCAUCACCAUUGGGGGCAAGAAGCAGAUGCCAGUGUUCAGGGUCUGCUUCUCUCCAGCAUAUGCAGGCAUAUGGCAGAGCUCCAGUCGCUGAUAUACAGAAUAGUCAUGUGAAGAUGAUUGGUUUUCCACUGAAGUUCAUCAGACCCAGCCUUCUGAAGCAAUUUGCCUCCAAGAGUACCAUCAUCACCCAACAUAAUGAACUCUAUAUUAGGAUUGUGCAAGAAGGGCUGGGGUUGUGGCCCAGUGGUAGAGUGCACGCCUAGCACAUGUGAGGCCCUGGGUUGGAUCCUCAGCACCAUGUAAAAAUAAAUUAAUAAAAAAUAGGUAUUGUGUUCAACAAAACAAAAAAAAUUAAAAAGAAAAGAUUCUGCAAGAGAUCCAUAUAUAAGCAUCUGAAUGCUUAGCAGCCACUCAAUCCUUUGCCACUUCUCUCAGCCCUAAAACUGAUUCUCCUGAAAUAGAAGCCAAAAUCAUGGACCAUUUACUCCUGUGUGAAGCAGGUUUUGAAUUCUGCAAAGAUGACACUGAGAUCCCAGUUGCUUUUGAUACUGAGCUCAGAAGAUACUAGGCCAUGGAUACUCCCCUACAUUUCUACUGGGAACUGCUCUCUGUGCCAUGGGGGCUGCUAUAUUGGGCUUGUCCUUGACACAGUCAGUUGCCUACAGCCGAGAUACUAAGAAACAUACCUAGUUCCUCCUGCCUGCCUGCCUGAAACCCUAUGCUCAUGGCACAGAAGAACUCAAAUUCAGCUUCAGGAGAGUGCCAUGCUGCAAAGCAACCAUAAAAUCAUCUGUCCUGGCAGCUUCUUUUGGUCACAUCCAUGUAGUCCUGGAGAGAGGCUCCCCAGAAACAUGCUGAUCUUUAACCCUGGGCCAUGAUCAAUAAGUCCUACAAGUACUGAGUAUUCAAUUUGAGGGAUUCUAUUUAUUCUCCUUUUCAGACAAAUGUAAGAUUUCUCUCUCA